AUCAGUGAAUGUCCUGUGCAAGCAGCAUAUGAGAAGGAAAUGGAAAAAAAUUCUGGCAUUUCACUGCAAAUGCGUCAAUGGCCUGGAAAAAAACACUAUCUUUUCUUGUAUAAAACAACUGUCUAUGUCUAAUGAUGUUGCUGUUAAAGUUAACUAGCUAAGCUAACAUUUCUUGGUUUCUAGCUUAUUCGUUGGCGGCAGCAGAACACGUCCUGCUUUUCUCCACCAGUCCUAAAAGGAGAAUGGUACAUUGCCCCCACCCAAAAAGAGACCCGGCGCCAAGCACAAAGUUGCACAUGAAGCAGGAGGACAUACAGCGACUUGUGGACUUGUGGACAUAAACAACUAUGCAGAGGAUAAUGCAGUGGUUUUGCCAGGACGCCACGUACAGGACACAGAGACUUUGGUGGAAAGCUGCUGCCAUCAGAUGUGACUGAAGCAGAAGUCAUGGCUUCUCUACAAGGAGUCAAUGACAACACUUGAACAAUAUGCAAUCGGGCUGGGUUACUUCAGGAAUCUUUGGAGAAAGUUGCUUCCCCACAUCUCAAGCACCAAGCCCUAAUGUAUCCAGUGCAUGUGAAUAAACUUUAUUAAAAUUUUAUUUGGUUCGGUAUAGUGUGCGUUUAUUAGAGUCCAACAGACCAGGCCAGAGUGUCUCCAUUUGAAUACUUAAAUAGCUGGGUGGGGUUAAGGCCUAAGAGUAUGUGAACUAUGCUAAAUGGGUGUAAACAAAGACCAGGUCUCUGGUAAGUGUGAAAAUCAUUCAAGCCUUUUUUCUUAGAACUUGGUAGA